GACGAACGCUGGCGGCGUGCUUAACACAUGCAAGUCGAACGGAAAGGCCCUGCUUUUGUGGGGUGCUCGAGUGGCGAACGGGUGAGUAACACGUGAGUAACCUGCCCUUGACUUUGGGAUAACUUCAGGAAACUGGGGCUAAUACCGGAUAGGAGCUCCUGCUGCAUGGUGGGGGUUGGAAAGUUUCGGCGGUUGGGGAUGGACUCGCGGCGUAUCAGCUUGUUGGUUGGGUAGUGGCUUACCAAGGCUUUGACGGGUAGCCGACCUGAGAGGGUGACCGGCCACAUUGGGACUGAGAUACGGCCCAGACUCGUACGGGAGGCAGCAGUGGGGAAUAGUGCACAAUGGGCGGAAGCCUGGUGCAGCAACGCCGCGUGGGGGAUGACGGCCUGCGGGUUGUAAACCGCUUUCGCCUGUGACGAAGCGUGAGUGACGGUAAUGGGUAAAGAAGCACCGGCUAACUACGUG
rnacentral:rRNA from 1 species